AGCCUAACAAAAUCUAUUAUGGCCUAAGCUUUCGUGGCCCAGUGGAGUCUGCCGUAAUAGCAUUGUGGAUCCUUGAGAGGCCACGAGACGCUGUAAUUUUAGUGAGAACUCAGAAAUCAUCUACCCAGAUGUCUCUCUCUAACCUUUAUAUCUCUGUAGUCGGAAAGGUUCCAUGGCGCGCAUGCGCUUUUGCAGGUGGCCCGUCCUCGCACGUGUGCUGCUCCUUGAUCUGCUGUUGCUCCUUUAGAGGGGAUCAUGCCUAAAGUUAAGCGGUCCAGAGGCUCCGGAGGAGUGGCGGCGAACGUGACCGUUCCGUUGGCCGAGCAGAUCAUUCAGAGCGAUUCAGUGAAGCCCGUCACGCGGGUGAAGAGACGGGGUAAAGCGGGGAAACAUGGCGAUGCGGAGGCAGAGGAUGAAUACGUGGACGAGAGGCUCUCUCGGAGAAUCCUGGAACAGGCUCGGAUCCAGCAAGAGGAGCUGGAGGCCGAGCACGGCGCUGCUGGAAGAGACCAGCCCAAGAAGAAGAAGGCGACCACUGUACUGGGGCCUGUCCCAAAGGAUGGAGAUUCAGAUACAGAGGAAGAUGAGUGGCCUUCACUGGAGAAAGCUGCAGCCAUGGAGAAGGGAGAGUAUUGUGAGGAGAUGACUGUGAAUCCAGAGGAUGAAAAAGCCAUUGAGAUGUUCAUGAACAAGAACCCACCACUGAGGCGCACCUUGGCAGACAUUAUCAUGGAGAAGAUCACAGAGAAACAGACAGAGGUGGAGACUGUGAUGUCAGAAAUAUCUGGUCGGCCCAUGCCACAGCUUAACCCCCGUGUCCUAGAAGUUUACAAAGGUGUUAGAGAAGUGCUUUCGAAAUAUAGGAGUGGGAAACUGCCUAAAGCCUUCAAGAUCAUCCCAGCAUUGUCCAACUGGGAGCAGAUCCUUUAUAUCACAGAGCCCGAAACGUGGACAGCGGCUGCCAUGUACCAGGCAACAAGGAUCUUUUCAUCUAACCUCAAAGAGAGGAUGGCCCAGAGGUUCUACAAUUUGGUGCUUCUCCCGCGAGUCAGAGAUGACAUUGCUGAAUAUAAGCGCCUCAACUUCCAUCUGUACAUGGCGUUGAAGAAAGCCUUGUUCAAGCCUGGAGCCUGGUUCAAAGGGAUCCUCAUCCCCUUAUGUGAAUCAGGAACAUGCACACUGCGGGAAGCCGUCAUUGUGGGCAGCAUCCUCACCAAGUGCUCUAUCCCUGUCCUUCAUUCUGGGGCUGCUAUGCUAAAGAUUGCUGAGAUGGAGUACAGUGGUGCCAACAGCAUCUUCCUCCGUCUGCUCAUUGACAAGAAGUAUGCCUUGCCUUUCCGCGUUGUGGAUGCCCUGGUCUUUCACUUCCUAGCCUUCCGGACAGACCGGCGCUCCCUACCGGUCCUCUGGCACCAGUGUCUCUUGACCUUUGCCCAACGCUACAAAGAGGACCUGUCUUCGGAGCAGAAGGAAGCCCUCUUAGAGCUGCUCAAGUUCCACAGCCAUCCCCAGAUCUCUCCAGAGAUCCGCAGGGAGCUAGUGAACUCCAGAUGUCGGGAUGUGGAGGGGAUGCAGCCAGCAGCGAUGGAGUAAAUGGUGGAUGGGAACGAAAACUCCAUAGACUGGACAUUUCGGUUGCUCUGAUUUUGUUCAUGGUGGAACUUUUAAGUCAAAGGCAGUUGCUGGUUUGGUCUUGAGGCUACAGCACAGAGUAAAACGAAUGAGGUUCAUAACAAAGCCAUUUUAAAAGAAAAUGUGUGCUGUAUUGGUGUGGCUCUUCAGUUACAUCUCCAGAUGCAAGAAGCUUUGUCUGUUGCAUUUCUGCCAGUCACACACAAAGAAGGUGAAGGAGCUCUGCUGGGGCGGUGGUGACAACUCUAGGUUUUGUGGCUCACAGCUCUGCCCUCCUACUUCUGUUGCAUUUACAGAAACAGUAAGCACAACUGGGUCAUCUGUUCCAAUCCCUAAGCUCUAGUUUAUGGCAAAACUAUUGGAGUGAAUAAUUACUAAGCCAGUUGGCAGAUUAAAACUAACAUGAUUGACUAAGAUCUCCUUAAUCAAUGAAUUGGCUUAUAUUUGCAUAUGGAGCCCAUCAGUAAAUUUGAAGGGAAAAGGUGUGCUUCCUUUAGUUUUAGAUGAUGCUUACUGUAUGCACCAUGUGUGUUUAUUCCAUCCUUUGUGUGAUGAGCGCCUCUUCAAAAGGCCAUGCCUACUUCCUGUGCAAUUAAAGCAUAGUUACUUCCCAGUUAAUCAAGGGUACCUCUUUAAUUGAUAAAAAGCUUUUUAAAAUAACCAGAUUCAUUGCAUAAACAAUGCAGUCCUAAUACUUCCAUUUUUUCCAUCUUUCCUUCUCCCUCUGAACUAAAAUGGUAUGUAAACGGGUUAUAAUUCAACCCACAGCAAUUCUAAGUUUUUAUAUUGCAGAAUUCGAGGUUUCCACAGAGUGCUAGAAACGGCUGCGGAUGACCAUGUAUGGUGUUCUGAUAUGCCUGUUCUUAUAAUCCUUUCUUUGCAUUGCAUAUUUUCUCAGGCUUCCCUCCUUUAGCAGCAUGGGAGCAGUGAUCUCUUUCCCGCUGCUCAGCUGAUGGCUGGGUAGUGGAGAAAGGUGGGCAGAGCUCCCCAGGACCUGGUGGGCCACAGGGGGAAUGACAGGGGGCCACAGGCAGGCCUUUGGCUGCCCACCUCUGCUCUAGAUGUCAGGGAACCCACUACAAGCCACUUUCGUAACCUUGGUUAACUAGGCUAUCAAAGGCAACCCUCGCUUACUGGUAAGGUGCCAUCAACGAGGGGCCUCCUGUGCUUUGCAGUCCGGUGCAGCCCUAGGACUGCAUUGACAUGUUUUGGUGCUCCCGGUGCCCACAGUCACGAGGCAGACACACUCAGUGCUGUUCCAGCAGCAGCUGGGAAGAGAAGAGUAAUUGGUUUGAACAGCUUUUAGCUCCAGGGGAGAUUUGGUUGAGUGGCUCCGCUGAGCAGCAAGUUUGUUUGUGCUGGUAGAUGUCCCCCAGGGCAGCCUCUUGCUGAAGCACCGAUUACAGAGUAAUUUGCACGUCUCCCAUCUAUCUACUUGGCAUCAUUUAGCUGAAGCAUCACAGGUGGGAGCUGUUAACUCCAUGCAGAGCUGGUAAAUUAGCCUGCUGGAACCGUCUAGAGCACUUUGAGUGGCUGGAGAUCUCCUAUGCUAGUGCCUAGUAGCAACCUGCUAGAAUGGGUCUCGGGCUGGAGAGAGGAGUAAGGUCACGCUAAGGGGAAGCUGUUCUGUAUGCCAGGUAGAGCUUGUGCAGUAGAAUGAGUUGCAGGCUAAGUGCAUCUGUGUCUUUUGUGAUUGCUACCUUUUGUGGUUGUCUCUGUGGUUGUCUUCCUUGCAAACAUGAUGAAAAUGUCUUGCUAGUCCAUCCAGAUUUCUCACACCUUGUAGUAAAUGACUAGUUCCCCACUGACCAACGUGCUCCUUUUGUCUCUGACCGUAAUAUCACCUCUUCUGAGGUUCAUAUCGGACUUCUUUGUGUUGUGUCUGUCUUUUCAUGGGUCCCUCCAAUCCUAUUUACUUCAGUCCCUCUUUGACCCUCUGCCAUCCCUGUAUCGUUUCAAAUCAAGGCCAAAGGACAAUCAAAAUUUUGAUUCAUAUGGGUAGAAAAGAUUUGCAGGUUAGCUGCUGAACUCUACCAUACUGUAUAUGCUCCUAAUUUAAAUCUUUCUAAGAUCAAAGUUAGAAGCACUAGCCUUCUCCUUGAUCUGCUAUCUGCAUCCAGUAUUGUUUAGUGGGUGAGGACAUUCAAUUCUUAGCUUAGCCAGUGUUACAGAAAAAGCUAUAGAGACUUCUUAAAAGAGGAAGUCUUUACCAAGGCUGAAGUUAACUGCAAUCCUAUACAUGUCUACUCAGCAAGAAAUCUCAUUGAAUUUAAUGGGGCUUACUCCCAGGAAAGUUGGUAGGGGAUUGUUGCCAAAGUUUGACUAGAGAAUGUUUUGAUUGCAGAUCAGUGAACAGGCAGGGAAGCAGCAUAUAUCACUCCCGUACAAGUCGGGUGCAUGCAGAAAAAGUUUUGACAAGCAAUGGCAGGAGGCAACAUAUGGUAAGGCAUACAAAUCCUUUUAGGGAAGGUGGCAAGUCAAGGUUCAAGUCCAGUAAAUGAAUUUUGAGAGUAUCCAGAAGGGCGAUUAGGGCAAAGCCAGUCUUGCCUUGUGUGGGGCAGGUGAGCCGGGCCACUCUCCUCCCGCUGAUUGUAGCCUCCAGUCGUGGGUCCUUGGUAGCGGGAGUUCUCUGAGACAGAGAGGUCCUCUGAAGGCUUCCUCUGUGGUGAUUGCUGGUGCAUCCGGCAUAUUCAAAUGGCAUGGUUAUAUGUCACACAUAAUAGUUCCCGGAGCGCAAGUUUCCAUACAGUAAGCAGAAUAAAGGUAAAAUACUAUGUUUUAAAUAGGUAGGGGGCUGGAUGCAAUACAAGCAUCUGGCAUGCGAGUCCUUUCCGGGGGUUGCUUUGAUGGGUCCAAGGUGGAUCUUCCGACGCAGAGUCUGUGGCCGGGGAGCAGGAUGGGCCCAGGCUCCUUCUGCGGGUGAUGUUGCAUGUUCUCUAUGAGUGUCUGAGCCAUCCAGAUUCUCAGCUGUCUCUGGUCUCCAAGGGGUUUGGGCUCCCACCUGUGAAAAACAGAAACAAAAAAAGUCAGGAAAGGAAGAAAAAGGGGGAGGAACUUGGGCUUGUCUGCAACACGGUGUUGCCUCUUGGCUCUGACCCCAUUUGGGGGAAGGCCAAGAGGCUGGGGCUCCCUCCUCACGAAGGAGGAGGGAGCAGUUUGUGGCUCGCCCCCUCUGGGCGCAGCAGGGUGAGCCUGUGGUGGCGGCGGCUCCCCUCCUCUGGGUUAGGAGGGUGAGCCAUUUACUCAGGAUCUCGUUGGUCCAUCCUCAUAGCGAUUGUGGGGAUAGACCAUUUGUGGCUCCCUCCUUCUGGGGUUAGGGAGGGGAGCUGGUUCCUCUUACUGGCGGUGGCCCGUGAUGUGUUCAACAUAGAUAGCAUGGGACCACCGGAUGGUAUCUCACACCAUCACCUUGCGCAUGAACUUGCUGUAGCGUUUGCCCACACCACAAGCUCUCAGUACGGGCUCAUUGUCAGGGUCUCAGCCUCCUAGGGCUCUGACUAGAAGAGUGUGGACGGAGACUUCGUACCCACUCUCCCUGAGUGUGUCUGCCAGGGGGCGAACUUGUGGUGCUUGUGUUCCCUAGCUUCCUUCAUGGCCGUUUUUCUGUUUUCGAAGAGGAUAGUUACAUCUACCAUGGUGAUUUUCUUCUGUUCUUCCUGGGGGGUGACAAUGUCUGGUCUCAGUUGACUCCCUGUGUUGGGUAUGGAGCGGUUCAGGGAGAUGGUGCCCAUUGAGGCGGGGAUGGCUUUGGCCAGAUGGUUCAUUACUGUGUCGUGUCAGCAAAGUGUGUGAAGUCUCCUCAGGGCAUGUAGUGGUUGCGGGCAUCCCAUUGUGAGAUGACUUCAAAUACCUUUCCCUAGUCCAGUUUGUUCUUAAGUGCAAUAACGUAUUUUGCCCUCGUUGGGUGCUCUCAAGGAGCCUGCUUGAUAUGUGGGUGAAGAACUGUAGUUCUGGUGGGUUGCCUUGGGGGGGGGGUGGCGGCGAUCUGUGGGCCUUCUGCGUUCCAGGCCCACUGCCAGCCAAUGAAUUUAUUGAGGCGGGGUGUCGCAUUCCGGGUGCGGGUGAAUAGGGAGGAUAAGUCGCCGCCAUCACAGCCAAACUCAUUUUCUGUUGAUCCACAGAAGUAAGUGGCCAGAUCCUCCUUGGUGGGGUCCCUGGCGAUUCUUUUUUGGAUGACUUCUCUCAGGGUGCCAUGCGCUACUGUCUUGAUGGUGUUAUCUGGGCAUGUGAGGAGGCGUAAGGCGUGGGUGACUACUGCAACAUCAUCGAAGUCAUCCAGUUUUGGGAUUCCUGCUCCUCCCCAUCACUGAGAAAUGUGGAGGAUGUCAUUGGUGGCCUGCUUGGGGAGGCUGAGCCAUUUCUUCAGCAGGGUUGUGAGUGCUCCGUCAGCUCUGUUUAGGGCAGUUUUCUGGACAGCUAGUCCUCGAAGUGCGAAAUCUAUUCUGGGGAGAAGGAAUGUUUUGAGUGCAUCAAUCUUCUGCCAGGGGGCCAGUAGUGAGGAGUUGGUCUUGCCAGCGUCUAUCACGAUAGUGUGGAUAGUUGCUUCAAGGGUCUGGUAGGUUCGGAAUCCGGUGGGGGGUCCUAAGUGUUGGUAGGCCUCCCCAUCUGUGAGGUGUGCCAUGGGUUCUCCUUGGAUGGUGAAAGCUGUUGGCAGGACCCAGUUUUUCUGGCUCCCAUUGAUGUGGAGUGAUGCACACUUUUUUGCAUUGAAGCGGAGACCCAUCGAUCCAGCAAAGGUUGUGAUGCUGGUCAGCAUUCUUUGUAGUUCCUCUGGUUUCUCAGUGGCUAUCACCAAGUUGUCAGCAUAGGCAAGGACGCUGACUUUGUUCUCAUGCAGGCUGAAGCCUCCUGAUCCAUUGGCGAUGCGUCAAAGGAGAGGCUCCAUGGACAGGUUGAAGAUGAUGGGGCUGAGUGGGCAGCCCUGUUUCACUCCGCAGCGGAUCUGAAUCUCGGCGGUUUCUCCUUCCACGGCGCGCAUGGUGGUGCUGCAACUGUUGUAGAGCUCCCUGAUCAGGUCGAGGAACUCUCCCAGCAUGCCAAAUUGAACCAAGGUGUCAAAGAUGUGGCGGUGUGGGACGGAGCUGAAAGUGUUGCUGAGAUCGAGCCAGGCAAUGGCACAUUCUCUUCUGGAGCGGCAGGUGGUGUCAAUCACUGUCUGGAGCAGGAAAUUGUGUUCGUGGCACCCCUCGCAGGAAAUGAAGCCCUUUUUCUGGGAGCUGAUGGCAUUGCCAGUGACAGCCCAGUCAGUGACUCUGGCAGCAAUGCAACUGGCAUACAUCUUGUAGAUGGUGCUGCAGAGAGUGAUUGGGCGCCAGUUGCUGGGGUCCGUGGGGUCAUCUUUUUGUGGCUGAGGACAGUCAUGGCCGCCUUCCGGGCAUCCGGUGUACAGUGGAACUCUGCAACGGUUGAAGGUGGAGGCUAGGACAAGACAACCCGGGUCACGUCGCUUUAGCAGGCCAUACCAGAUUCUGUCUUUACCUCCAGCUGUGUUUUUGCCCUUGCAGAGCCUUGCCUCUAGUUCCUGUGGGGUGAAGUCUCUUAGGAGUGUGGCACCGAGUUCUUGGUCGACUCUGGGGAGAUCAGGGAGGUCAUUUGGGCAUGGAGUGCCUCGUUGGUCAUCUCUGUCAAAGACUGAUGCAAAGUAGCAACCAGAGAUACUAUAGAGACUUACCAACAGUUAGUGGUGGGUGUAACAGUUGCUUGUAAUUAAUUAAUUAAUAUUGCCCUUCUGUCUACCUACCCUGACCCUGGGGACCUCGCGUAACUACUAAUAUACAUUCAUACCUGAAGAUGCCAGAUUUCCUUAGCCUUUUUGCAGUGAUUUUUUUUUAAAAAAAAAUUAGCUAAGUCAAGCGAUCAGUACUAGACCAGUAUUUACAAAUAUUAUUAUGGCUGUUUUAGCAGUAGUCCAUUCAAGGAACCAGUGUGGGCAAGUGCUGAUGACAGCAUGUCAGAAGCAAUGGGAUGGAAUGCUGGAUUCUAAAUCCAAGCUUUAGAAGCAGUGUGGUGAUAGCAGUCUGCCACAAUUUUGGGACAUGCAUAUUGCUCCAGACCUGAGUAGAGAAUUGAAGAGCAGAUCAACUGCAUCUUAAGAUAGCUGCCAGGGCAUUUAAAGUGUCCCUAGGUUAAGAACAUAAGAAGAGCUUGCUGGAUCAGGCCAGUGGCCCAUCUAGUCCCGUAUCCUGUUCUCACAGUGGCCAACCAGAUGCCCAUGGUAAGCCCACAAGCAGUACCCGAGUGCAAGCGCACUCUCUCCUCCUGCAGUUUCCAGCAACUGGUAUUCGAAGCAUGCUGUCUCUAACCAUGGAGGCAGAGCAUAGCCAUCACAGCUGGUAGCCAUUGAUAGCUUUAUUAUCCAUGCAUUUAUCUAAUCCCCUUUCUAAAGCCAUUCAAGUUGGUGGCCGUCACUGCCUCUUGUGGGAGCAAAUUCUAUAGUCUGUGUGCUGUGUGAAGUAUUUUUUUUGUAUACCCUGAAUCUUGCAACAUUCAGCUUCAUUGGCUGUCCACGAGUUCUAGUCUUAUGAGAAAACCUUUUCUCUAUCUACAUUCUCCAUGUCAUACAUAAUUUUAUACAUUUCUAGCAUGUCACCUCUGCCUCGCCUUUUCUCUAACCUAAAAAGUCCCAAAUGCCACAACCUUUCCUCAUAGGGGAGUUGCUCCAUCCCCUUGAUCAUUUUGGUUGCCCUUUUCUGAACCUUUUCCAGUUUUACAAUUCCUUUUUGAGAUGAGGCAACCAGAACUGUACACAGGAUUCCAAAUGUGGCUGCACCAUAGAUUAUAUAAUGGCAUUAUGAUAUCGGCAGAUUUUUUGAAUACCUUGCCUAAUGAUUCCUAGCAUGGAAUUUUUCUUUUAUCACAGCUGCCGCACACUGGGUUGACAUCUUCAUUGAACUAUCCACAUUAGUCCCAAGGUCUCAUUCCUGGUCAGUCACCACCAGUUCAGACCCAUGUAUGUAUAUGCAAAUUAAAAGUUUUUUUGCUCUAAUAU